UGAUAUUCUUGGCUGCUUGU
rnacentral:siRNA from 1 species